rnacentral:rRNA from 1 species
UCGGAUUGCAGGCUGCAACCCGCCUGCAUGAAGCCGGAAUCGCUAGUAAUCGCAGAUCAGAAUGCUGCGGUGAAUACGUUCCCGGGUCUUGUACACACCGCCCGUCACACCAUGGGAGUCGAUAACGCCCGAAGUCAGUGACCCAACCGAGAGGAGGGAGCUGCCGAAGGCGGGAUGGAUAACUGGGGUGAAGUCGUAACAAGGUAUC